CAUUAUGCUCAGUCGUAAACUUUGAUAGACCAUUACACCCACUAUCCGCCCGGGUACUACGAGCACUAGCUUGAAACCCAAAGGACUUGGCGGUGCUUAACAUCCACCUAGAGGAGCCUGUCCAACAACCGAUAAUCCCCGUUAAACCUCACCCUCCCUUGUCUUUCCCGCCUAUAUACCGCCGUCGUCAGCUUACCCUUUGAGGGACCCAUAGUAAGCACAAUUGGCACAGCCCAGUACGUCAGGUCGAGGUGUAGCUAAUGAGAGGGGAUGAGAUGGGCUACAUUUCCUAAACAAGGAAAUACGAAAAAUCGUUCUGAAACGAACAUUAGAAGGGGGAUUUAGUAGUAAGUAGAAAGCAGAGAGUUCUACUGAAGCCGGCCAACUUAAGCGCGCACACACCGCCCGUCACUCUCCCCGAGCAAACAAAUUACUAUACCUAAUUAUCCCACACCUGCAAUUAUAGGGGAGGCAAGUCGUAA
rnacentral:rRNA from 1 species